rnacentral:tRNA from 1 species
GCGCGUGUAGCUCAGUGGUUAGAGCGUCCCUCUGAUAAGGGGAAGGUCCCAGGUCCGAUUCCUGGCACGCCCACCG